UACGUAGGGGACGAGCGUUGUCCGGAUUUAUUGGGCGUAAAGAGCGCGUAGGCGGCUUGGUAAGUCGGAUGUGAAAUCCCGGGGCUCAACCCCGUGACUGCACCCGAAACUGCCCGGCUAGAGGUAGGUAGGGGAGAUCGGAAUUCCUGGUGUAGCGGUGAAAUGCGCAGAUAUUAGGAGGAACACCGGUGGCGAAGGCGGCUACCUGGACCGAUAUUGACGCUGAGACGCGAAAGCGUGGGUAGCAAACAGG
rnacentral:rRNA from 1 species